AAUAAACGCUGGCGGCGUGCAUAACACAUGCAAGUCGGACGAGAAAGGCGAAUUUCGGUUUGCCGAGUAAAGUGGCGCACGGGUGAGUAACGCGUAGGUAACCUGCCCAUCUGUUUGGGAUAACAGAUCGAAAGGUCUGCUAAUACCGGAUGCGAUCGGAGGUCGAGAGGUUUCCGAUGAAAGUCUGCCGCUCUGUAGAAGCAGACGCGGAUGGAGGGGCCUGCGUCCUAUCAGCUAGUUGGUAGGGUAACGGCCUACCAAGGCAACGACGGGUAGCUGGUCUGAGAGGAUGAUCAGCCACACUGGCACUGGAACACGGGCCAGACUCCUACGGGAGGCAGCAGUGAGGAAUUUUGCGCAAUGGGCGCAAGGCUGACGCAGCAACGCCGCGUGGGUGAUGAAGGCCUUCGGGUCGUAAAGCCCUGUCAGGUGGGAAAAAAGGUACCUUUUCGAACAGGGGGGGUAUUUGACGGUACCACCAGAGGAAGCACCGGCUAACCUUCGUGCCAGCAGCCGCGGUAA
rnacentral:rRNA from 1 species